rnacentral:lncRNA from 1 species
UCACCUGACCUCUGCCAACCACCUCCCGCAGCUGUUCGUCGAGGCCAGGAGCUCGCCGCUGCGGGAGGGGAGGGGGAGGGGAGGAGGAGGAGGAGGCGGCGCCGCCCACGGAGGAGCGGUGGACGCGGAUUUUUUCAUGGAUUUAAUCUCUUUGUUUGUUUGCGUGAUUUUUAUUCCUGAUUUUUUUGUUUGCGGAUUUAAUCAGAUGGGGAGGCUUUCGUCCUCGAGAGCGGGCGAGCGGGAAGCUUAGGCGAGCGUUGCGGGGGUUCUCCAAGCGUUGCUCCACACGCCACCGCUUCGAAAAUAAUGUUGGGUAUUAGAAUAGUCACACGUGCCACGUUGGGAGAUGACUCCACAAUCUUACGUGACAACACGAAAGCUCACGUCUAAAAUCCAUUGAUCAUUUUAUUAUUAUAUAGAUCGCCAGGU